rnacentral:lncRNA from 1 species
AGGGGAUACCAGUGUGUACCUACCAUUGAAAUCAAUUGUUUUCAAGUCUUUUUAGGUCUUAUUCUCAGACGGUCUUGGGUAAAUGGUGGCUGAUUGCCUUCAGCAUCUAGAACAAAACACUCUAUGGCCCAGAGGAAUUCCAGCUGGAAUCUAUGAUCUUAUUCUCUUGAGGAAUGGACCACGCAGUAUCCUUCAAGGAAGAAUCAAGAAUGUUUCCACAGAGAAUAUACAUAUUUCAUCUCUUUCUCUGCUGAAUGGAUCCCCACUGAAAGCCAUGAAUUACUCUCAUUAGACCCUGUAGAAUCCCAGUUUAUGGCAGUGACAUUAAAAACAUCUAGUUUAUGACUUGGAUUAGGCAGCCUGUAAAAUGGCUUCCAGUGAUCCCUGCUUUCUGGUAUGUAUGCCUUUGUAUAAUACCCUCCUCAUGAGUGUAGGCAGAGGUAACAUCACUUUUGAAACUAGGUUAUAUAUAUUAAAACAAACAAACAAACCUGUGGCUUCCAUUUUGGGUACUUUAUCUCACACUCUGAUUUCUUGCUCCGUGGGAAACAGACUGUAAUAUUGUAAGCAGUGCUAUGGAGAGGUCCAUGUGGUAAGGAAGUGAUAGGUCCUGAUAACAGCCAGUGAGGAUCUAAGGUGGAUCCCUUUCUGAGUUGAAUAUUGAGAUAGAUGACUACAGCUCUGGGCUACACCUUGAUUGCACCUCAUGAGGAAUUCUGACCAAAAACACUGUGCUGAACCAUGUCCAGGCUCCUGAGCCACAUAAACUAUGAGAAAACAAAUAUUUGUUUCAAGCCAUUAAGUUUUAAUUUGUUACACAGCAAUAGAUAACUACCACAUGGAAGGAUUCAAUAAGAGAAGGGUUUUUCAUAAGUGAAAUGUUAUUUUCAUCUCACAUUUCAAUUAUUAGAAUAUAAAUGAAAGAAAAUAAAUUUGGAUAGGCUCUCAUAAAUUCAAUGAUAAGAAUUUGGAAAAUGCAACCACAUGAAAACCAGGAAGUAAAAGGAAAACAUAAGCGACAUCUUCCCAGAUGAGAGUAAAUAUCUGGUUCCCUGAGAAGUGUAGUUUGAGAAUGGAGAAAUCAGAUGUUACUGGAAAGAGGCUAGGACUGUAUUAUUUCUUGCUUCCUGUCAAGUCUUUUCAACUCAAGAGAAAGUAAAUUUUCUUGACAAACCAUUCAAAAUUAAAGGAUAGGUGGGAGUAUAUGUGUCCCUGAAGGAACAAGUGACCUUCACUGAAAGCAGCAGCUUGGUUGAAUAAAUACUGUACAGAAGUGGAAUAAAGAGUAGC